rnacentral:rRNA from 1 species
CCUACGGGAGGCAGCAGUGGGGAAUAUUGCACAAUGGGCGCAAGCCUGAUGCAGCCAUGCCGCGUGUGUGAAGAAGGCCUUCGGGUUGUAAAGCACUUUCAGCGGGGAGGAAGGCGGUGAGGUUAAUAACCUCAUCGAUUGACGUUACCCGCAGAAGAAGCACCGGCUAACUCCGUGCCAGCAGCCGCGGUAAUACGGAGGGUGCAAGCGUUAAUCGGAAUUACUGGGCGUAAAGCGCACGCAGGCGGUCUGUCAAGUCGGAUGUGAAAGCCCCGGGCUCAACCUGGGAACUGCAUUCGAAACUGGCAGGCUAGAGUCUUGUAGAGGGGGGUAGAAUUCCAGGUGUAGCGGUGAAAUGCGUAGAGAUCUGGAGGAAUACCGGUGGCGAAGGCGGCCCCCUGGACAAAGACUGACGCUCAGGUGCGAAAGCGUGGGGAGCAAACAGGAUUAGAUACCCCUGUAGUC